AACGAACGCUGGCGGCAUGCCUAACACAUGCAAGUCGAACGAGACCUUCGGGUCUAGUGGCGCACGGGUGCGUAACGCGUGGGAAUCUGCCCCUCGGUUGGGAAUAACUGAGAGAAAUUUCAGCUAAUACCUUAUAAUGUCUUCGGACCAAAGAUUUAUCGCCGAGGGAUGAGCCCGCGUAGGAUUAGGUAGUUGGUGGGGUAAUGGCCUACCAAGCCGACGAUCCUUAGCUGGUCUGAGAGGAUGAUCAGCCACACUGGGACUGAGACACGGCCCAGACUCCUACGGGAGGCAGCAGUGGGGAAUAUUGGACAAUGGGCGAAAGCCUGAUCCAGCAAUGCCGCGUGAGUGAUGAAGGCCUUAGGGCUGUAAAGCUCUUUUACCCGGGAUGAUAAUGACAGUACCGGGAGAAUAAGCUCCGGCUAACUCCGUG
rnacentral:rRNA from 1 species